rnacentral:lncRNA from 1 species
UUUAGUCAAAUUUUUAUUUAAAUCGUCUACAUUGAUAAUAGAUUUGCAUACACGAAAAACUUAAGAGGAUACUACGUGAAAGUUUAAGAAAAACUUAACUCAAAAUUAAACCAAGAGUUAGAAGAUAUUUAACUCAAAAUUUAAUGAAAAAUGACGAACUUAUGUUGACUUCAAUAACAUAAGGGACUAACUUGAAAUUUUUUAAACCUAAGAAACGAAAUUGAAAACUAAAAUAAACAUAAGGAACUAAAUAUGCAAUUAA